CAGACAUGAACAGGAACGGUGGAAGAAGCUCUUAGUCAACACAUUAGACAGGUGGAACUCAAACAAGAGGUUACAUUCUUCAAAGCAGCAAUGAUGAGCAGCAGCCGAGAACUCUUUGGGGUCAGUCUCAGUUAGAGUCCGACGCGAAAGAGCAAAGAUGGCUGUGUUCCAAGUCCUUUUGUUGAAACCUGAGGAAUGUGUACGUGAUCCCGCCCAGGCGUGACGUAGUCAACGCGGAAGUUGCCUGGGAAUUGUAGUUCUGACACAAGAUGGCGGCAUGAUACCUACAACUCAAAGCAGAAAGCAGAAAAACUGCACAGAAAGUGGCGAAAAGCCUGAACAAGACGUUGAUGAAUCAUCACCGUGAUGAAAUAAAACCCAGCAAAGACUAAGUGGACUCUUUCUUUUAUCUUUCUUUCCUCAAUUCAUACAAGUUAAUGAAGAUUUAUGUAUCCAUUUAAUUAGCUUUUUAAUUAGAUUUUAAAA